rnacentral:rRNA from 1 species
GUACGGGGGGAGCAAGCGUUACUCGGAAUUGACUGGGCGGUAAAGGGCGCGUAGGCGAUUCGAUAAGUCUUGUGUGAAAGCCCCGUGCUUAACGCGGGAAGUGCAUAAGAUACUGUAGAAAUUGAGUUCCGGAGAGGAAGAUGGAAUUCCCGGUGUAGCGGAUGAAAUGCGUAGAGAUCGGGAGGAACACCAGUGGCGAAGGCGGCUACCUGGACCAGCACUGACACUGAGGCACGGAAAGCGUGGG